UAUAUAAAGGGUUGAGUGAAGAGGAUUUUUGUGCUUCAAACUUGUGAAGGAGAGAAAGCAAAUGGUUUUUGUGAGCUAAUUUAGUUGCUAAUUAAUUACUCUUCAAUAUAAUUAAUUACAUCUAUUCUUUAAUUUGCAGGAGAUAAAAUAUAUACAAUUUGCAGCUCUCAAAUUCUUGGCUUCUUUUCCAUCAUCUGUAGCUGAACUUUAGGUACACCAGCCUUGUUCAAGUCAUAUAUACAUACAGAUACAC